rnacentral:rRNA from 1 species
GACGAACGCUGGCGGCGUGCUUAACACAUGCAAGUCGAACGGAAAGGCCCUGCUUUUGUGGGGUGCUCGAGUGGCGAACGGGUGAGUAACACGUGAGUAACCUGCCCUUGACUUUGGGAUAACUUCAGGAAACUGGGGCUAAUACCGGAUAUGAGCUCCUGCUGCAUGGUGGGGGUUGGAAAGUUUCGGCGGUUGGGGAUGGACUCGCGGCUUAUCAGCUUGUUGGUGGGGUAGUGGCUUACCAAGUCUUUGACGGGUAGCCGGCCUGAGAGGGUGACCGGCGACAUGGGGACUGAGAUACGGCCCAGACGCCGUCGGGAGGCAGCAGUGGGGAAUAUUGCACAAUGGGCGGAAGCCUGAUGCAGCAACGCCGCGUGCGGGAUGACGGCCUUCGGGUUGUAGACCGCUUUCGCCUGUGAUGAAGCGUUAGUGACGGUAAUGGGUAAAGAAGCACCGGCUAACUACGUG